AUUGUCUAAAACUUAACCUUUGUUGCGAUAGCUCUUGUGCAUGUUGCAUCCAGAAAACAAUUCGUGGCAUUUUAUUUGUGUUUGUUGCCAUGAAUAUUUCAUUGGUUGCGAUUAUGCAUGCCUAUGGCCACGAUGAAAUAACGUUGUCUAAUACUUAAUCUUUGUUGUGAUAGCUCUUGUGCUUGUUGCAUCCAGAAAAUAUUUCGUUGCGUUUGAUUUGUGUUUGUUGCCAUGAAUAUUUCAUUGGUUGCCAUUAUGCAUGCCUGUGGCCACGGUGAAAUAACGUUGUCUUAAACUUAACCUUCGUUGUGAUAGCUCAUGUGCCUGUUGCAUCCAGAAAACAAAUCGUUGCAUUAAUUAGCUUCUAUUGUCACCAAUAAAUUAUGUGAAUUUAUUAGACUAUUUUUGGUUGCGCUAAAAAAAGUUGAUAAUGCAAUUAAGCCCACCGGUAUAUUUAAAGAAUAAACAUAAAAACCCAGCACACCGUAAAUAUUUUUUUUUGAGAGCAUGUGCAUAGUGAUCCAUGGGCUGCCUGAAGACUAGCCAGCAAGAAUGAUAAUUGGGCCGCACAAUUCAGGCAUCCCAGUGGACAUUUAAAAAAAUAAAAAACAAAGAAAACAAGGGGCGCAGGCAUCCCAGUGGACAUUUAAAAAAAUUAAGAACAAAAAGAAAAACAAGGGGAGCCUAGGAAUUGAACCCACGAACUACUGAUGUAAACAACCCUUACAGACCACUGGACUAGUACUACUAUUGUGUAUUUUGAUCACAACUUUUAUUUUUAAUUGGUAUUUGAAUGCGUGGAGGUAAAGACCCCAUCUGAAUCUCUCGUCGUCUUCCACGAACUCAGUCACGCGUACCCUUUGCGGCCGGUACCGAGAUCCUGACGGGGGCUCUUUGCGAGUGACUAUACUGCAUAGCCCGGAUUCAGCUUCCGGUGGCGCUGUAGGGCUCCCUUCGCAGUCCCUAUCGGCCUCUCCCAUCUUUCCCCCGGCGUCCUCUUGUUCCAAGUCCGACGGAUCUGGCCGGGGGCAGCACGGCGGCGGCUUCGGCCUAGGGUGGCACGGCGGCGACGGCGGCCUGGGGUGGCACGGUGGCGGCUCCCUCACUACUAC
rnacentral:lncRNA from 1 species